CCCGCCGGCGACCGGCGCACGGGUGAGUAACACGUAUGCAACCUGGCCGCCACAGGGGGAUAACCCGCGGAAACGCGGCCUAAUACCCCGUGACGCCACCGGAGGGCAUCCUCCGGUGGCCAAAGGAGCGAUCCGGUGGCGGAUGGGCAUGCGGCGCAUUAGCUAGACGGCGGGGUGACGGCCCACCGUGGCGACGAUGCGUAGGGGUUCUGAGAGGAACGGCCCCCCACACUGGGACUGAGACACGGCCCAGACUCCUACGGGAGGCAGCAG
rnacentral:rRNA from 1 species